CCAAUUUGGAUUGAGUCACACUCCUGCUUGUGACUUCACCAUUUGAAACAUGUGGUCUCCAAGGUCACUGCACCAGGGGGAAAGAGGGCUGGAAGACCCAGAAAAAAUAUUUCUAAGACCUGGGCCUGAAUGGAUUUAGACCAUUUCUCCCACAACUCAUUGGCUUGAGCUCAGUCACUUGGCUCCAUCAACGUGAAAACAAGGCUGGACAACAAGUCAUCUUCUGUGGCUAGAAGGAAGAAUUGAGAAUGAAAGCAGACAGAGAUACUGUCCUGAUUAUAUCAUUUGAGCUUUGCAAGCGACUUCAUAUGUGUUCCUGUCCUUUUUUGCAAGUACGAUUUACCUGCGGUCAACCUCUGUCCGGAAGCAGACGAUCCUCCUUGUGAUGAAUUGUCAGAAGGUCACUAGUAGCCUAACAAUACAUCACAACGCCUACGUCAUUCACCUCACUUCAUCUCAACAUGCAAGCGUUUUAUCAUCUCACAUCAUCACAAGAGGAAAAAGAGCUUCUGAUGUGUCUACCUGCAAGGCCAAGUGCAGUAAUUUGUGAGCAUGAGUUCAUCCAGUCAUUAAUAAAUACUUUACAGCAUCUAUAUACCAGGCACUGUGUUUGGUUCUAGG
rnacentral:lncRNA from 1 species